rnacentral:rRNA from 1 species
AGGGUUCGAUUCUGGCUCGGGAUGAACGCUAGCUACAGGCUUAACACAUGCAAGUCGAGGGGCAGCAUGGUCUUAGCUUGCUAAGAUUGAUGGCGACCGGCGCACGGGUGAGUAACGCGUAUCCAACCUUCCCUAUAGUAGGGGAUAGCCCGUAGAAAUGCGGAUUAAUACCCUAUGUUGUAUUUCGAGGACAUCUGACGAAUACCAAAGGUUCACCGCUAUAGGAUGGGGAUGCGUCUGAUUAGGUAGUCGGCGGGGUAACGGCCCACCGAGCCAACGAUCAGUAGGGGUUCUGAGAGGAAGGUCCCCCACAUUGGAACUGAGACACGGUCCAAACUCCUACGGGAGGCAGCAGUGAGGAAUAUUGGUCAAUGGGCGAGAGCCUGAACCAGCCAAGUAGCCGUGCAGGAUGACGGCCCUAUGGGUUGUAAACUGCUUUUAUGCGGGGAUAAAGCGAGGGACGUGUCCCUUAUUGUAGGUACCGCAUGAAUAAGGACCGGCUAAUUCCGUGCCAGCCGCCGC